rnacentral:lncRNA from 10 species
UAUAUCGCAGAGUCAUAAUUUGUUUUCUGAAAGUGCACUCUUAGUUUUAAAACUACUUGUAAGUCCUAUGGAGAAGAGUUGAGUUGGAAGUUUUUGCAAUUACCCAAGAAAGAUAAAUGAUAAUUGCUUGUUAUGUGGAACUUAGAAGGUGUUAAGGACAUUAUUAAUCAUGUUGUUUGCAUUAACUCAUUUGCUCUUCCACCUCACAGGAGAAAUGGGUUCAGAGGUUAAAUAACUUACCUAACGUCACUUAUCAAGGA